rnacentral:rRNA from 1 species
UACGAAGGGGGCUAGCGUUGUUCGGAAUUACUGGGCGUAAAGCGCGUGUAGGCGGGUCUUUUAAGUCAGGGGUGAAAUGCCAGGGCUCAACCUUGGAAUAGCCUUUGAUACUGAUUGUCUUGAGUAUGGGAGAGGUAUGCGGAACUCCGAGUGUAGAGGUGAAAUUCGUAGAUAUUCGGAAGAACACCAGUGGCGAAGGCGGCAUACUGGCCCAUUACUGACGCUGAGGCUCGAAAGCGUGGGGAGCAAACAGGG